rnacentral:rRNA from 1 species
UGGGUAACCUGCCUCAAAGAGGGGAAUAGCCUCCCGAAAGGGAGAUUAAUAUCGCAUAAUAUGUUUAAGUCGCAUGACUUUAACAUCAAAGGAUUUUCUUUUAGAAAUUCCACUUUGAGAUGGACCCGCGGCGCAUUAGCUAGUUGGUGAGGUAACGGCUCACCAAGGCAACGAUGCGUACGCCGACUGAGGNGGU